UCCGAUAUGGUGUAUCGGCUAGCAUCGCUCGCUUUCAUCAUCCCGUUGCGGACAGAAGGCUUCCGAGCAGAGCCGGGUUCGACUCCCGGUGUCGGAA